GGGCGGGCGGGUCCGGCUCUGGCCCCGCGGGCGCUGUGCUUGGCGGGGAAACUUAUCUUCCCUUCCUGGGGAAGAAAAAAAAGAGAGAGAGAAAAUCAAGUCGCAGCCGGCUUGGGCCGGUGUUGCGGGCGGGCGUGCGAGACGCUGAGGCUGCGAGGGCUUCCCCAGCUGUUUCCAACUGACCCAAGUGUGAAGUGAGGUGUGAACAGGCAGGCCUCUGACUGAGCUCGAGCCCACUGACUGCCCAGGAGAGAGGCCCUUGAGGACCUGGCCUGCAACAGAUUGGCUGGAGGGCCCCCCACUGACUGAGGCCAUCCUGCCUGAAAGUCAGGAAACACAGGGGCCCUGGUUGUGUAAUAAGAGUACACUUGAAAAAUGCCUUGUCCUUAUCUGAAAACCCAGAUGGAAGAAUACCAGCCCUGAAGUUGCUUUUCUUAAAACUGGAAUGAAAGGUUUCUGAAAUUCUCUACCUAGGAGGAGUUAGAGAAAGACUUUCUGGCUAAGUAGAAGAAGCACACCCACUAAGAGAGAACCCAGUGCAGUGACCAGCACAGCUUGUGGAACCUGACACCCUUGACUCCUGGGAACGUGGAAGGAGUUGCUGCUCUAUGAAUUCCAUCAUUUUCUCAGGGUGUCUGUCUUUUUCUCCUAACUGCCUGCUUCUACUUAGAAAAUUCAAGCCUUCAGAUGCUGUUUCACUUAUCACUUUGCUCAAGCUUCUCCAAAGCUCCCCACUAUCAAAGGACUUAAACUUCAAGCUUCCUUCUUUCCUUGUCUACUCUUCCUUCACUGUAGGAUGUCUCCCUCGCCCCCUGAAAAUCCCCUCUACACAUCCUGUCAUCUCUGUUAUUAUUUAUAUCCUGUUAUUAUUUAUAUCUCUGUUAUUAUUUAUAUCCUGAUUCUGCCCUGAGUGACCCUAAAAAUCCAAAGACUCCCAUAUGUAAAAUAUCCUUCAGAGUUGAGCAAAGAUCAGCUCCUGAAAGAGAAAUUUUGGUGACAAAGGGACUAUUAAAAUGGUCCAUCAGACAAAUUCUUUAAAAAUAUGAAUAUCAAAAUGAUUACAGAAAUGCUGAGGGAUUUUUAUAGAUUCAAGGAGACUAAGGAGAUAUGAUAACUUAAUAGAAUAUCAGAUCCUAGACUAGAUCGUGUACUGGAGAAAUGCUCUAAAGGAUAUUACUGGCUAAACUGACAUCACUGAAAUACAGUAGAUAAAAUUCUAUGUUAUUGUUCAAAUUAACAAAGUUUAUAACUAUCCUGGAGAUAGGAAACAGAAUAUCCUUGCUCUUAGGAAAUAUUCACUGAAAAAUUUAGGGGCAAAGUGUAAUGAUAUAUGCAACUUACUCCCAAACAUUUAGGACAAGAUAUGUAUAUGGGUAGAGAGAGCAAAGGAAACAAAAUGCUAAAACUAGGUGAACCCGGGCCAUAGGAUUAGCAGUGUUCUUGCAAGUUUUCUGUAAAUUUGAUUAUUUUUCUAAAUACAAGUUUAAAAAAAAUGGCCAAUGCCUCUGUUUCCCUGAAUUUUAUCUCUCCUUUGAGAUUCUCUGCCUUCAAUCACAUAGCCCUCACACGUAUGCUGUUCCACCUUCAAAACAGUUGUACCAUGCGCUAUCUCAGUGAAGACCAGCAGGAUACACUUAUCACAACUGAGGUCCUAAUGUUUCUGUUUAGAGAAUAUAGAAAAAGAGCACAAGGGAAAAUGAAAUAAAAAACACACAUAAUGUACAAAAAUAUAAAAUUAAUACAGAAAUACGAAGAAUUGUGUUUAUAACAUGGAGGUUUCAGGAACUGAGAAUCAGAGUGUAGGUUUUGGAAUCAGUCACAGCUGAGUUCUAAUCUUUGCUCUGUCCAUUAACAACCAUGUGAUCUGGAGCAGAACAUUUUGCCUUUUUCUUCUUUAGUUUCCUUAUCUGGAACCCAGAGACAGAAAUCCUCUGUGUUUGUAGGAAAAA